UGGACAAGAUUUGAAAACCUCCUCCUGAAUAAGGAGCGUAGGACUUUGUCCAUGGCACUGAUGGAGGGGCUUUGUCUCUUUGUCCCUGCAGCUUUCCAAACCUCCACGGCUCUUUGUUGUGUCUGGACUGCUGCAGCAAGAGGCACUGCUCAGGCUUCUGUAAUGUUUUUUUUUACGGGAACCUCUGUGGUGACCCUGGGUCAAAAUAAAAAACCCAGGAGCGAUUUUGUGCUGCACUAUUGUGAUCAACCAACCAGAGGACGUGGUGAUGAUGGUAAUGACCGAUCACACUGCAGUGAAUCUAAAUUAAAGGAGUACAAACUGUAAACCUUCCUUUACUGCUAACCACUUUCAAUGUUGGUUCAUCUCUUUAUUUGUGCAACAAUAUUCUUUUCAGUCAUUUCAUUCUCGGAUAUCUUAAGAAAUGUUCCUACCACACUUGACAUCUAUCUGGGGGAUUGUGAAACUCUUGGUUAGCAGUAAAGUAUGUAUGUGAUUUAAUGGGCUAACAUUUGCAAAACUCACCAGUAUUUUUUCUUUAACUUAAAGCAGACCUCGACGCGUUCGUGCUUCACUGGAUUGUGUAAAUCUAGGGUGUGUUAUUAUGUAAAAUCAGUCUGCAUGUUUUAUGUUCCAGAGGUGCAGUAGCUGUCUUAUCACGUUAAUGUGAGCGAGUGAAUGUGUGAUGGUUUGAAAGUGAAUCGGGAGAAACUGGGGGACUGAUGUUCUUAUAAAUGAGUUGUUCCUUCUUUUUUUUUUAAUAAAAAAGUUUUGACUUGAUGAAAACUACUCCACUUGUGUAUUAUUUGAACUCGCCACACAAAUGAAGACAUUGGGUCUUUAAAUGGUACAUUAACAUCUUCCAGGUUCAGUUGAUCAGAACUUUUGAAGAUCAUCGACUUGAAGAUCAUAGUGCCAAAAUAAAUAUUGUUUUUUCAGAUUCCUGUAAAAACAUGUUUGUUUUUUUAUUUUGGAAAUUAAGCGUUUGCCAUACAGCAGUCGUGACGCAGAGACGGACGGACAAUUACAGGAGAACCAUAAUCAUAAUCCUGAAAUCUUGAUGCAUCAUGCGCUCCAGUCUCUUUUACAAGUAUAUUAUGUUCUCACAAAGGGCGAGACAAACACCUCAAAUCUGAGUCUUUAUCCAGAAACCAGAGUUCCUGAAUUUCCGGCGAUUUAUUUGUAGAUCAUCUUAUUAGUUUCCUUUGAUUUUUGGGGCUCCUUUUGUUCCUCUGAGUUCCCACCGUCUGACGGUGUGCAGGCACAGGUGCAUUGCUGUAAUAUCAAUUUAUUCAUUUAUGUAUUUGGGUUAAAGUCACAAAACUUGUUUUAUUAAAAGGAUGAAUAGAUAGAAAGUUGAGUCACUCGCAGCCUUUUUCUCAUUUCAAAUUCAGCAUACAUUUCUCUUUAAUAAUGUACAUCAUUAUAAGAUGAAAAGAGUUUUGUUCACUAUAGCGGGGUUGAAGAGUGGUCGGCUGAUGACGUUUCAGCCAGAAGAAAAAUAAUACUGAUUUCACUCAAGUCGUAUCAACAACAGUUUUAAAUAGAAUAACAGCAACGUCGACAUUGUGACUAAACCUUCUUAAAUGUUUUAAUUAUGUUCUUUUCAUUUGCUUCCAGAAGCCCAAAGAAUGAGUGCGAUGGAGAUAUAAGCAACACAGACACACCACAGCUUUCCGUGACAGGAGAACAAAGAUGUACUGCAGCACAUGGAGAAUCUGAUCUAUUUGUAAGUAACUCGAUUUUUCGGAAACAAUGAAUUAUGUCGUCACAAGCAGAUUUCUGUGUGCACACUUGAGAGUUUCAGGCUCUUUGACGGCUUAUUUCUCUUACAAACAGUGCAAAAGUCAAACGUCCCAGGAGGAAACAUGUGCAGUGAGACAGACUGAACACUGUGUGGCGCCGUAAGUCCUCAAACUUUUAACACUGGAGGGCAACAGUAAAAAUCUCCCCUCUCGUAUGCUUCAGCCUCCAAAACACAACCCCACUUGCGAGUGCCUCCCUUCCUCCCAGAGCACACAGCAAUAAUCUUCUGUGUGUGUGUGUGUGUGUGUCUGUGUGUGUGUGUGUGUGUGUGUGUGUGUGGGUGUGGGUGUGGUAAGUGUGUGUGCCCAGUCAGAGGGAUGGCGUGACUGGUGGAUCACAGAGGAAACGGGCUGAAGGCAGGAGAUGGGUUCACAGACGGGUUGAGGGAACGCUGAGACACAAGAGAGCAGCAGAUGUAUUUUUCCUCAAACAGAAAAACAUAAAAGGCACAUGCUCAGCUUAGUGCAUGCUUUGUGUGUGUGUGUAUGUUUGUAUAUAUAGGGUCAUUCUUAAUGGACUCAGAGAUCACUGAGACCAUUAGAGAAGAUUAAUAUAUUGUUUUAACCCCUACCCAGAUUAUUAUCAUCACAACUCAUUAUUCCUCUCAUCCAGCAUGGUUCACUCUGCAUGUGUGUGUGUGUGUGUGUGUGUGCGUGCGUGUGUGUGCGUGUGUGUGCGUGUGCGCCUGUGUCCACACGUGUGUCCACACGUGUGUACGCAUGUGCACCUGCUAUCAGCCUGUAUGUUUGUGUGCGAGCUUGUGUUUAUGUCUCACAAGCACCAUUUCCCAUCAUCAAGGCCAAAGGUUGCUAAGCAACUUCACUUCUGCCGAUUGCCAGAAAAGAUGCCUCUCCUCUGACCCGCUCACAAACCAAACUCCCUCCUCUCCCCUGUCAUUGAUGUGGCGGCGGAGGGAAGACGCUUGCCUGCGUGUGCCUCAUUGACUGUGCAUUUGUGUGGACCAAUGUGCAUUUGUGCUCGCAAACAUGGUGAAGGAAAAAAGACAAGAGAGAGAAAGAGAGGGAGGAGAGUGGGAUGUGGAAAUGUAUUGUCUGACAGAUUUUCUGAUUCCUCGAGCUAAUAACGAGGAUGAGUCAGUUAUGUUUCUGCAUGCCAGAUUCUUUCCAGUGCUUUGCCCUAAAAUACAGCAAAAUAUCUGAGCAUGAACACUCUAUUACGCAGAUAAAUAAUAGAAAAGUUAAUGAAGUCUUUCAUUUGUGACUCUGACUUUUUUCCAUGCGAAACUCUUACUGUGAUUACAAAUGCUUUGGAAUUCACACAGCAAAUUAUAGUGUAAAUAUUUCAUACCUAGUGCAUAUUUGAUCAUGGCAAAAGACACUUAUGGUUAUCUAUCAAGGGACACACGUCGGUGUGAAGAUGAGAACAAGAGAGGUUGGGUAACAACUAUGUGUUUGAGAGGGACUGAAAAAUUACAUCUUAUGUUUUCAAAUUACAAUGUACAAAUUCAAUAAUUGUGGGGUAUGGAAAUAUUGUCACCGGCUUACAACACAUAAGGCCACCAUUUAUAUCAAUGAGUGCAGACUAAAUACU
ensembl:lncRNA